ACAGAGUGAGACUCUUAUCUCCGAAAAAAAAUAGUUAUAGAAAAAAAUAAGCAGUUACAUUUUAUAUUCCUGCAGGAUACAGGUGGCACCCUCAAAAUAGGUAGUUUGAGAAGAUGUUAGUAGAAGGUGUGUGAAGGUGAGGACAGGGUGUGAGGAGAACACAGGCAGUACUCUGGUGCUAGUAACAGCAGGGAACCGUUACUGUUUCUAGGCCAGAAGGAGCAAUGGGAGAGAGAAGUUUCUGGAACUCUGAGGCUGAAAGGGCUGUGUGGAGUUUGUCUGAUAGAAGCUGUGACCUUCGGCUGUGGGACGCAGGAGGCCCUGCAGGAAGGAUUUUCUUCUUCUCUCUCCCUCCAGUCUUCUGCUAAACACCUCCCUUGGGCUGAACCCCACUCGAAGUGACAAGAAAAAAGAGCCCUUUCCAUGUGACCCAUAACCAGCCUCCUGGAAUACAGAACAGGAUGGAGAAAAGUGGAGGGUGGGUCAGGAAAGGUAGAUGGAAGAUCUCCAAAACAGCUCACCCCUUCUCUCCUCAGCACCCAGUUCAUUCAGACUCAAAGAGGAGGCCACAGACUCAGAGACCUUGGCAGGCAGCAGAACAUGUCAUUAGAAUGGAGGUGGUACCUGUGAGCCGGGGAGGUGGCUUGGAGAGCCUUGGAGCCGUCUUGGUGACAUGCGGGAAGCUUCCCACCCUGAAAACCGGAAGCCAGUUCUUGCCAAAAUUUUGAAGAUGAACACAGAGACCAGUUCAAACUUGGAACUUGUAGGCCCUGGAACAGAGAAGGCCCCUGGUCUGAGAACCCCUUGCUUUCUUCCGGUGGAGCCGCUGUCUGGGCCAAGCCCUUCCUUCUCUGGUGGGGAGUCCAUGGUCUGGCCCUCGCUCCCUCAUUCUUUUCCUGGAGGAAGAAAAGAAACUUUGUUCAGCAGAGUCCCAGCACCUGGUCCUUCCAACUGCAAGCCUGCCUUCCGUGCCCCUGACCUUAAAUAAGAAGGCGCCAGGAAAGGUCCACCUCCAGGGCCGGGAACAAGAUACCUACCCCAAGAAUGUACCGGCGGGGAGGGAGAUGGAUGGGAGUGGGCUUCCUACAGGGUGAAGCCCGACAGGCUGGCCCGGCCCCUUCCUGCUCAUUCUCAGGAACACACCUGACUGCUGCCCCUCCCGUUUAUCCAGGACUGAGGGAGCCUCAGGGCCCAGGAGGCUGCAGUCCUCAGACUGUGACCUUGCGUAGGUGACUUUGUUUCUGAGCCACAACCUCUUAUCUGUAAAAUGGGUUAAUGCUACCCCAGGUGGUGGUGACAAUUCAGUAAGCCGUGCGUACAAGGCACCUGCCUCGACUGGCCCCCCAAGCAACACCAGAGCCUGACUCCCACUCCAUCUCUGCUUAUUCCUGUAGACACGAGCUCAGUCUGACAACCAGAACCGUCAGAUUUCUUGGGUAAUAAGGGAGUCCCAGCAGCUGUUUCUCAGAGCAGUGAGAGGAUCCAGCCUCCACCCACCCUGGGCCAGGCCUCCGCAUUCCUCCUCGUCUUCAACGGGGCGCUGCUUCCGCAGCCGCCUCUCCACUCCAGCCUUGGUGGGUCACCUCUCCCAGUGCCCCCGUGUUACCAUAAUGGCCAGAGGAGGGUCCCAGAAAGCCCGGGGGAUGCGUCUUCCCCAUCAAGACCUCCCGAGGAGCCCUUUCACCUCUCUGAGCCCCCGUGUCCUCCUCUGUGAGGACAGAGCUGUGGCCACGGUGACCCACAUGCUCCUUUGCCACUGCUGCCUCCUAUCACUUCCCUGCUGAGCCCA
rnacentral:lncRNA from 10 species